AGUGAACGCUGGCGGCAGGCCUAAUACAUGCAAGUCGAACGGCAGCACAGUGGAGCUUGCUCCAUGGGUGGCGAGUGGCGGACGGGUGAGGAAUACAUGGGAAUCUGCCCAGUCGUGGGGGAUAACGUAUGGAAACGUACGCUAAUACCGCAUGCGCCCUUCGGGGGAAAGUCGGGGACCGCAAGGCCUGACGCGAUUGGAUGAGCCCAUGUUCGAUUAGCUAGUUGGCGGGGUAAACGGCCCACCAAGGCGACGAUCGAUAGCUGGUCUGAGAGGAUGAUCAGCCACACUGGAACUGAGACACGGUCCAGACUCCCUAAGGGAGCAGCAGUAGGGAAUAUGGACAA
rnacentral:rRNA from 1 species